rnacentral:snoRNA from 1 species
AGCCUCAUUCUGAUUAGAAUGGGCACUAUUGGUAGGUGUCCAGAAUCGGUCAGUGUAGCUAAAAUUGAGACACAGAAGCAUACAGUUGUGUUUCUGUCACAGUAAAUGUUUAUAGUGGUGACAGUCAGGUCUGUAACAUUU